rnacentral:lncRNA from 1 species
AAUUGUGCUUUGUUUCAUGAUUUUAAUUGAAACUUUAGUCUUCCAUACGCUCGGAUAUAUAUAUAGAUUAGAUUUAUGUGUUAGAUAUUAACUCCUUGGACACCGCUACACAUUAUGGGGUAUUGAGACUUCCUAAAACUUUAAGAAGAACCCUUGCCGAACCUCCCGAACGUACUAUAUAAGUAACGCCGUAGAUAAGAAACAGGAACGCAUUCAAAGGAAUAGGAUAGGAGUUACCAUAGAGAAAAGAUGGCAAACGACUUUCUCCUGAAAAAAUGGAGGGCUUUGUAUCGAGGAUGCGACAUCAACGGCGAUAAUCAGAUUACGAUGGAAGACGCGGAAGUUUUCACGUAAGUAAGAAUCUAUUUAUUGUCAAGAUAUUCUUGUUUUUCAUACA